UACGUAGGGGGCAAGCGUUGUCCGGAAUCAUUGGGCGUAAAGAGCGUGUAGGCGGCUCGAUAAGUCUGCUGUGAAAGUCCAGGGCUCAACCCUGGAAGGCCGGUGGAAACUGUCGGGCUAGAGUCCGGAAGAGGCGAGUGGAAUUCCCGGUGUAGUGGUGAAAUGCGUAGAUAUCGGGAGGAACACCAGUGGCGAAGGCGACUACCUGGCCUGUUCUUGACGCUGAGGCGCGAAAGCUAGGGGAGCAAACGGG
rnacentral:rRNA from 1 species